AAAAGUGCUAAACGGGAUGUCCCACCGCCCAGUUCUGGAAAAAAACCUCCGCAAAUUAAUAGUGUUCUGAUGGCCUCCAGGAGCACUGGAUUCAGAAAAGUCAUCGUUGCUUCUGGUAGCUUAAGUAUUGUUGAAGAUAACAAGAAAAUUCAAGUAAUAGAUGAUGAUUCUAUUGCUUUGAAGACUGAGGAUACUGAUUAAGACCAUCUUCUUCAUUUGACUACAUCAGGCUUUUUCAGUUUUUUAUUUUUCUCAGUCUCUUAAUGUAUAGCAGCUUAAACAAAUUGUAAGUUGAUGAUAAUUAAUGGCCAUAUGAAAUUAAUUCUUCUAAUCCCUUUUAACAACAAACAAAAUUAAUUAGUGGUGUUUACUACAUGACAAACAUGACAAAUUUAUUUGCAAAUGAAUUCUACUUGGAAUUCAUUUAC
rnacentral:lncRNA from 1 species